rnacentral:rRNA from 1 species
GACGAACGCUGGCGGCGUGCUUAACACAUGCAAGUCGAACGGAAAGGCCCUGCUUUUGUGGGGUGCUCGAGUGGCGAACGGGUGAGUAACACGUGAGUAACCUGCCCUUGACUUUGGGAUAACUUCAGGAAACUGGGGCUAAUACCGGAUAGGAGCUCCUGCUGCAUGGUGGGGGUUGGAAAGUUUCGGCGGUUGGGGAUGGACUCGCGGCUUAUCAGCUUGUUGGUGGGGUAGUGGCUUACCAAGGCUUUGACGGGUAGCCGGCCUGAGAGGGUGACCGGCCACAUUGGGACUGAGAUACGGCCCAGACUCCUACGGGAGGCAGCAGUGGGGAAUAUUGCACAAUGGGCGGAAGCCUGAUGCAGCAACGCCGCGUGCGGGAUGACGGCCUUCGGGUUGUAAACCGCUUUCGCCUGUGACGAAGCGUGAGUGACGGUAAUGGGUAAAGAGGCACCGGCUAACUACGUGCCAGCAGCCGCGGUGAUACGUAGGGUGCGAGCGUUGUCCGGAUUUAUUGGGCGUAAAGGGCUCGUAGGUGGUUGAUCGCGUCGGAAGUGUAAUCUUGGGGCUUAACCCUGAGCGUGCUUUCGAUACGGGUUGACUUGAGGAAGGUAGGGGAGAAUGGAAUUCCUGGUGGAGCGGUGGAAUGCGCAGAUAUCAGGAGGAACACCAGUGGCGAAGGCGGUUCUCUGGGCCUUUCCUGACGCUGAGGAGCGAAAGCGUGGGGAGCGAACAGGCUUAGAUACCCUGGUAGUCCACGCUGUAAACGGUGGGUACUAGGUGUGGGGUCCAUUCCACGGGUUCCGUGCCGUAGCUAACGCUUUAAGUACCCCGCCUGGGGAGUACGGCCGCAAGGCUAAAACUCAAAGGAAUUGACGGGGCCCCGCACGAGCGGCGGAGCAUGCGGAUUAAUUCGAUGCAACGCGUAGAACCUUGCCUGGGUUUGACAUGGAUCGGGAGCGCUCAGAGAUGGGUGUGCCUCUUUUGGGGUCGGUUCACAGGUGGUGCAUGGCUGUCGUCAGCUCGUGUCGUGAGAUGUUGGGUUAAGUCCCGCAACGAGCGCAACCCUUGUUCACUGUUGCCAGCACGUUAUGGUGGGGACUCAGUGGAGACCGCCGGGGUCAACUCGGAGGAAGGUGGGGAUGACGUCAAGUCAUCAUGCCCCUUAUGUCCAGGGCUUCACGCAUGCUACAAUGGCUGGUACAGAGAGUGGCGAGCCUGUGAGGGUGAGCGAAUCUCGGAAAGCCGGUCUCAGUUCGGAUUGGGGUCUGCAACUCGACCUCAUGAAGUCGGAGUCGCUAGUAAUCGCAGAUCAGCAACGCUGCGGUGAAUACGUUCCCGGG